AUGCCGCACCUCGCGCCACGGAUCGCGGCCACCGCCCGAGAUCUGAUUUGCCAGCCGCCGUCGCGCCAUGAGAGCCAGAUCCCCACGCCUGCGUCCGCGCACCGCACAUGCGCCCCCGUGCCGUCCCCACACGCCGUGCAGCCCCAGCGCAAGCUCGCCACGGCAACCACGCGCUCCCACGGCGGAAGCCCCGCAACGCCCGAGCACCGUGAGAGGAAAAACCAAGUGCCCCGCCGCUGCCGACGCUGCGCGGGCUUUGCCCGGCGGCGCCUGCUGGCGGCGGCGAGGGGAGGGAGAUCUGGCGAGGAGGGAGCUCGCCCGGCGGCUAGGGUUCCGCCCGGGUCGCCCGCGACACGGGGGACGGACGGGGGACGGCGGCUAGGAACCGUACAUACUAUGGAUUUUAUUGUGUAA
rnacentral:rRNA from 1 species